rnacentral:rRNA from 1 species
GAGCACUUUAGUUUGAUACCCCGAAACCAAGUGAGCUACUCCAAGACAGCCUUUUGGGCGCACCCGUCUCUGUGGCAAAAGAGUGGGAAGAGCUUCGAGUAGAGGUGACAGACCUACCGAACCUGGUUAUAGCUGGUUGUCCAGGAAUUGAAUAGGAGUUCAGCCCUUUGUCAUCUUUCCCCAUACGCUAGAGGCACCUUAAGCAUCAAAGAAGACAAAGGAGUUAGUCAAAGGGGGUACAGCCCCUUUGAAAAAGAUACAACUUUACCAGAAGGGUUAAGAUCAUAUCAUUUAUUAAGGAUCCGUGUUCUAGUUGGCCUAAGAGCAGCCAUCCACAUAGAAAGCGUUAAAGCUCAAACACCUCUCCGCCCCGACUAUUCGGACUGCAAACAUCUUACCCCCCUACACCUACUGGACCUUUCCAUACCCCUAUGGAAGAGAUUAUGCUAAUAUGAGUAAUAAGAGACCUUGCAUCUCUCCCCGCACGAGUGUACAUCGGAACGAACCAACACCGAAAAUUAACGUCCCCAAAAAGAGGGCACUGAAAAAUUAUGGCUACACCACAAGAAAAACAUCCAUCCGCCCAACCGUUAACCUUACACCAGAGUGCUUACAAGGAAAGACUAAAAGAAAAAGAAGG